rnacentral:rRNA from 1 species
GCCAGCAGCCGCGGUAAUACGGGGGGUGCAAGCGUUAAUCGGAAUUACUGGGCGUAAAGGGUCUGUAGGUGGUUUGUUAAGUCAGAUGUGAAAGCCCAGGGCUCAACCUUGGAACUGCAUUUGAUACUGGCACACUAGAGUACGGUAGAGGAAUGAGGAAUUUCUGGUGUAGCGGUGAAAUGCGUAGAGAUCAGAAGGAACACCAAUGGCGAAGGCAACAUUCUGGACCGAUACUGACACUGAGGGACGAAAGCGUGGGGAUCAAACAGGAUUAGAUACCCUGGUAGUCCAUGCUGUAAACGAUGAGUACUAGCUGUUGGAGUCGGUGUAAAGGCUCUAGUGGCGCAGCUAACGCGAUAAGUACUCCGCCUGGGGACUACGGCCGCAAGGCUAAAACUCAAAGGAAUUGACGGGGAUCCGCACAA